AUGAUACACCGUGUCAUUUGCUCUAAUCGUGUAACGAUAUCAAUUACCCGAGCGGUUCUCGAGGCUUGAUAUUUGUUGCGCUGUGUCAUUGCGCCGACCGCUGGGUUCGGAAUAAAACGGAUCGUCAGAGAAUGAAAUGAAAGUGCCCUGUCUUCGGUACGAGAUCGCUUUUGUAUAUCGGGCGCGGCGCGUAACCGUUUCGUAGUAACCGAAGAGUGAGAAAUGUGUUACGACAGUUGAGCCACGGAGUGAAACUGCGUUCCAACCGUUCGACUUCAGUGAUUCGGAUAUUGUGACAGGGUAAAGUGGUCGAUGGCAAUGGUGGAACUAGCGGGAAAAACCGCAGGUAUAGGCAGGACAAAAAAUGGUUAGGACAGGUCGACGGCCUCGUUGGACUAGUGCUCGCGUCGGAGUAAAACAGAGGCUUGCUACGGUGAUAGUGGAACGGGGGAUACAUACGUUACGGCAAUAAUGUACCAGCCAGACAUUAACUAUCAUUUUAUACAUCUUAACUGCGGCCAAUUAAAAACUUAUUUAUGGCGUACUGUCCUUCUCAUCGUCUUGGUGCAGAACGAACGAGGCGAAGUUGCACCCGAGAGACCAGCACGGAAAGGGUCCUGAACCCGCCCGCUUGCUCGUCGACCCGGCUAGUUAUCCGCGCACACGGACAGCCGGAUAAAUACAAGACCUACAACGUGUCUCGAACAAACGCGUUACCCGACUACCUGCCUACGCGCAAUAGCGAGAGACCUGCACAGCCUCGAUCGGCCCGCAACGUCUACGCUUAGGUACACUAUAUCUUCGGUUAUCUCCGCCAGAGAGGAAUCGUAAAUUCGAGCUCGCGGGGCUAAGUUGUGCGUAAAACACUCGACGCGGCUCUCCUGCGAUGAUUUACGCGAUCCCGUCCGUCGUGCCUUACGGACGGCGUAAAUUGCGUCCGCGUAAACUUGCGCAUUUUUCCGGUGGCUAUCGCCGAGGGCUGCUUAACCACGCCAAGCCAGAGAUCAAGAAUGUUUCCGGAUGUUUCGUGUGCUCGCAACGCUCGUAAUGGAUUGAGCUGACGAUUCUAAGUAUAUUUACGUUUACCAAAGAGAUUCAUGGCUAGGCUUCGUCGUGCAACUUAUCAUUCUAUUAGUAACGUCGGUUUUCCAAAGUGGAUUUUAGUAUCGAAAGUACGAUAUUGAAAUGCGAGGUUCCUGAUGUAAUUUUAAACAAUAUUUUCCUUAGCGAAAAAGUUAUCCGAGGUGUGGUUGAGGAGUUAUUAA